rnacentral:misc_RNA from 1 species
UUUCCGUAGGUGAACCUGCGGAAGGAUCAUUAGCAAUUUCAGGCCCUCCGGGUCUGCGGAGCACGCUAUUAGGCUGCUGGGGGAAACCUCAGUGGGGUACGGCGGCGUAGGGGGCAACCCCUACCUUGGUUUGUUAGCUACACCCGUGUCUACUCUCUUUGUUGCUUUGGCGGGCCGCCUCCAGGCGUCGGCUCCGGCUGACCGUGCCGCCAGAGGACCCAAACUCGUUUGUUACAGUGAUGUCUGAGUACUAUAUAAUAGUUAAAACUUUCAACAACGGAUCUCUUGGUUCUG